rnacentral:rRNA from 1 species
AAAUUACCCAAUCCUAAUACAGGGAGGUAGUGACAAGAAAUAACAAUACAGGACUUUUUGGUUUUGUAAUUGGAAUGAGUUAAGUAUAAACCCCUUUACAAGUAUCAAUUGGAGGGCAAGUCUGGUGCCAGCAGCCGCGGUAAUUCCAGCUCCAAUAGCGUAUAUUAAAGUUGUUGCAGUUAAAAAGCUCGUAGUUGGAUUUCUGUUAAUAAUUUAUAUAAAAUAUUUUGAUGAAUAUUUAUAUAAUAUUAACAUAAUUCAUAUUACUAUAUAUUUUAGUAUAUGAAAUUUUACUUUGAGAAAAUUAGAGUGCUUAAAACAGGCAUAUGCCUUGAAUACUCCAGCAUGGAAUAAUAUUAAAGAUUUUUAUCUUUCUUAUUGGUUCUAAGAUAAGAAUAAUGAUUAAUAGGG